rnacentral:rRNA from 1 species
UACGGGGGGAGCAAGCGUUGUUCGGAUUUACUGGGCGUAAAGAGCUCGUAGGCGGUCUGUCGCGUCGGAUGUGAAAGCCCGGGGCUUAACCCCGGGUCUGCAGUCGAUACGGGCAGACUAGAGUGUGGUAGGGGAGAUCGGAAUUCCUGGUGUAGCGGUGAAAUGCGCAGAUAUCAGGAGGAACACCGGUGGCGAAGGCGGAUCUCUGGGCCAUUACUGACGCUGAGGAGCGAAAGCGUGGGGAGCGAACAGG